UGUUAGCAUCACGGUUAUUUUAGCCGGUGUCUUCUUUGUGUGGAGACAAAAUACAACCAAAACCAAGACAAGAUCCAGAGAUGAAGCUGAAAGAGGAGAAAAGCUCCUGCCAGAGGAAACAGUGACGAUGAAGGUUUUUGGAAGAAGAAAGAAGAAAAUGAAAGACCUGACAGAGAAAUAUGAGAAGAUUGAAGAAGAGCUGCAGAAAACCAAAGAAGAUCUGAAGAACAAGACUGAAGAGAUGGAGAAACAUGUAGAGACACACACAUAAACACUAUCAUUAUGUUAUUGAGGACUGAUCAACACAACUGUGACUUUGCUCCAUCUACUGGUGAAAUGAUACAACUGCAGGUUUUCUCCUCCUCUCAGGUUAAUGAACUAAAGGAGGAGAAGAAGAAGCAGCAGGAGGAGAUGGAGGCCAGAAACAAAGAGAUGGAGGAGAUAAAAGAUGAGGUGAAAUACAAGCAUCAUUCUCAUCAGAAACAACAACAUCCAGAAAGUUAAAUGUGUGCACAUAUACAGGUCUUGUAUAAAUCAAUUUAAUAUUAAUUUGUCCUUCAGAUUAAAAGUCAAAUGUGUCGUUUAGUCUGAAAUGAAGAAAUAGAAUCAGUGAUGAUAAAAUCUUUUUAUUCGAUUUUAAUAAAUUAUUCCAGUUGGAGGAAAACAAAGCUGCUGCUUCCAAGUCUAUCUGGCCUUUCAGGGUAAGUGAUCACAUUGUAAGAACUAUGAUACAAUCUGUAUGUCCAUCAUUUAUAACCUUUCCUUUUCUGUCUUCAUUCUUCUCAGUCGUCUAGUUCCAACAAACAGAAGGAGGAGUCAGAGACAAUCAAACCUGAACAAACACAGAACAGCAGCAGCUCAGACAGUCAGGAGACGUCAGGAGACGUCAUUGUGGUGGUUAAUGCCAACUACAACUGUAUCUGUCUGAGAAACGAGUCUGAUCAGGACAAACCACUGGGAGGACGUCAGUUAAAAGUCCAGAUCAACAAUAGUGAACCCAUCACAUACACAUUUGAUCCAUCAAUGAAACUCAAGGCUGGAAAGUCUGUUACUAUAUACUGUCCAGACCAUAAGCCUCUUUAUUUUGUCCCUGGUGACCUGGUGUGGAAGGACCUGAAGUCCUGGAAGUCUGGUGACAGAGUCCAGGUCUCUCUGCAGUGAAAUAGUUCCCAGUUGAACUCCUUCAAUAAAGUUCAGUAAUCCAGCAAACAGCAACAUUAUAGAUGAGAAA